rnacentral:rRNA from 1 species
UACAGAGGUCUCAAGCGUUGUUCGGAUUCAUUGGGCGUAAAGGGUGCGUAGGCGGCGGGGUAAGUCAGGUGUGAAAUCUCGGGGCUCAACCCCGAAACUGCACUUGAUACUGCCUUGCUCGAGUACUGGAGAGGAGAUUGGAAUUUACGGUGUAGCAGUGAAAUGCGUAGAUAUCGUAAGGAAGACCAGUGGCGAAGGCGAAUCUCUGGACAGUUACUGACACUGAGGCACGAAGGCCAGGGGAGCAAACGGG